rnacentral:rRNA from 1 species
GCGAACGGACGAGAAGCUUGCUUCUCUGAUGUUAGCGGCGGACGGGUGAGUAACACGUGGAUAACCUACCUAUAAGACUGGGAUAACUUCGGGAAACCGGAGCUAAUACCGGAUAAUAUUUUGAACCGCAUGGUUCAAAAGUGAAAGACGGUCUUGCUGUCACUUAUAGAUGGAUCCGCGCUGCAUUAGCUAGUUGGUAAGGUAACGGCUUACCAAGGCAACGAUGCAUAGCCGACCUGAGAGGGUGAUCGGCCACACUGGAACUGAGACACGGUCCAGACUCCUACGGGAGGCAGCAGUAGGGAAUCUUCCGCAAUGGGCGAAAGCCUGACGGAGCAACGCCGCGUGAGUGAUGAAGGUCUUCGGAUCGUAAAACUCUGUUAUUAGGGAAGAACAUAUGUGUAAGUAACUGUGCACAUCUUGACGGUACCUAAUCAGAAAGCCACGGCUAACUACGUGCCAGCAGCCGCGGUAAUACGUAGGUGGCAAGCGUUAUCCGGAAUUAUUGGGCGUAAAGCGCGCGUAGGCGGUUUUUUAAGUCUGAUGUGAAAGCCCACGGCUCAACCGUGGAGGGUCAUUGGAAACUGGAAAACUUGAGUGCAGAAGAGGAAAGUGGAAUUCCAUGUGUAGCGGUGAAAUGCGCAGAGAUAUGGAGGAACACCAGUGGCGAAGGCGACUUUCUGGUCUGUAACUGACGCUGAUGUGCGAAAGCGUGGGGAUCAAACAGGAUUAGAUACCCUGGUAGUCCACGCCGUAAACGAUGAGUGCUAAGUGUUAGGGGGUUUCCGCCCCUUAGUGCUGCAGCUAACGCAUUAAGCACUCCGCCUGGGGAGUACGACCGCAAGGUUGAAACUCAAAGGAAUUGACGGGGACCCGCACAAGCGGUGGAGCAUGUGGUUUAAUUCGAAGCAACGCGAAGAACCUUACCAAAUCUUGACAUCCUUUGACAACUCUAGAGAUAGAGCCUUCCCCUUCGGGGGACAAAGUGACAGGUGGUGCAUGGUUGUCGUCAGCUCGUGUCGUGAGAUGUUGGGUUAAGUCCCGCAACGAGCGCAACCCUUAAGCUUAGUUGCCAUCAUUAAGUUGGGCACUCUAAGUUGACUGCCGGUGACAAACCGGAGGAAGGUGGGGAUGACGUCAAAUCAUCAUGCCCCUUAUGAUUUGGGCUACACACGUGCUACAAUGGACAAUACAAAGGGCAGCGAAACCGCGAGGUCAAGCAAAUCCCAUAAAGUUGUUCUCAGUUCGGAUUGUAGUCUGCAACUCGACUACAUGAAGCUGGAAUCGCUAGUAAUCGUAGAUCAGCAUGCUACGGUGAAUACGUUCCCGGGUCUUGUACACACCGCCCGUCACACCACGAGAGUUUGUAACACCCGAAGCCGGUGGAGUAACCUUU